rnacentral:rRNA from 1 species
UAUUCCGUUGAGCGAGCAAUGGCCAAAGCCGCCGCGUCCCUUCUCCCGGGUCUUCUCCCGAUCCCGCCCACCAAGCCCUGCCUCAUCAUCCUGCCGGCUUCCUUCGCCUCCAAGCCCAAGCCCAAGCCCGGCCGCGCCGACUCAGUCGAGAGGUGGGACGCGCACAAGAAGGACAAGAGGCCCACGAGCCCAGCCUCGUCGUGCUCCAGCAGCUCAACUCCCGGCCGCGCCUCCUCCUGCGAGCGUUGGGACUUAAACAAGCAGUUCUCCGGCAGCAGCCGCGCGUCCUCGUCGUCGUCGUCGUCAAGCAGGCCAAGCAGCACGAGCCCCGGCGGGAGGUGGGAUAGCAACAAGCGGCUGCCGCACAGCCGCACGACCUCCGCCGAUCGCUGGGACACGCAUAAGAAGCCUUGCCCGGCACAAGCUGCCGCCGUGAGCUGGACGGGCCACAAGGAGGACCAGGAGGACGACAAAACGGCGAUGGUUCUGAAACCGACAGCGCCGCGCAUAGGCCCCAUGUUCUCUGGCCCGAGCUUCCUCGCCUCGCCUGAUUCAAGCAUGCUUCCAAUGCCG